UUCCCGAGGCGUUUCGCGCUCAUCUGCGGCUUCGCGAUCGCGAAUUCCGUUAGCGCUAAAUCGGGGAGAAAAAUGUCGAUGACUCGGGAAAUCUGAUCCUGAUUUCUUGCCGGUCUGGAACGAAGAGGCAACGGCAGCAUCCGAUGUUCCCGUUGAAUUAGCAACGCGCGCGCGAGAAAAUUGCACGCCUCUUACACGUCGGCGGAAGGUCAUCACUGGGACGUACCCGUUCGCGAAAAGAGAAAAGCGAAAGAAGCUUGAAUGAAGAAAGUCAUCGCACCGUUUCGAGAAUUCACCUCUCUCGAUUAGCCCGCGGCGUUCUUUGAAUUUCCUGGAAGCAAGUACUCAUCUCGACCGGUGUACGGGUGUCAGGCACGAAGGAGAUACUUUCGCGAUAUUCUGCGUGAAAAUCGCGAACGCAAUCCAUCCAGAGCGCCGUCCAGAGAUGCCUAGGACAUCUUUAUGCAUCACGUGACAUCUGCAGGAGCGGAAGCUGUAAACGAAACGCGGAACACAAGACGAAGGAAGAAAGCGAGCUGAAAAAUGUGCAUCCCCACGCGACUCUCCACAAGUAAUGCACACAAUAAUCGCGCCAGUGAAGUCUCUAAAGCCGACAUUGUGAGAGGCCCGGAUAGAACGACGCCAUUUUUCAUAUCGCGCCCGCGGGCGACGCGCUCGCAUAAAGGAAGAAAGAAACAAAAAAGGAGAAUCGCGCCGAUGCGAUAAUAAUUGCCGAUUUUAUGCAGCUAAUGAAAGACGCCCACCUAGACAGAUCUCAGUGGAGUCUCGGUGACAGCGAGAAGAAAUAAUUCUCCGAACUGUCACCAUUGUCAUCGAGAUACGUAUGGACGUUUGACACAGAAAUCCUAGCGAGGAAUGUCAACCUUCCACUCUUUACCGCGGAUCUCUUCUCGUCUAAUCUUCGCAUUGUGUUUGCGAGAGAA
rnacentral:lncRNA from 1 species